GUCAGGAACCCCACCGCUAUAAGCCGGGGGCUUGAAUAAAGCCCGUACCUGACCAGCCUAAGUGCCUAACGCACUACGUUAACGGCAAGAGUUAAAGUUCCUACCUUGGGAUGCGUGCGCGUAGCGCGUAAGCCAGUCCCAUGCUCUAGAACCAAGUGGUUAAACAGGUUUACAAGGGUUAAGCCAGUGCUGCUUGGAAAGUACCGACCGUUAACUUAUGCGAGGCUAACGUCAC
ncrna:Microcoleus chthonoplastes PCC 7420 HNH endonuclease-associated RNA and ORF (HEARO) RNA